GUUUGCAGAGUAUGCGUGUUUAAAACUUAGAUUUUUCUUUCCAGGGAACCCAUUUUCUUUUUUGGUCCUGUCUUCUGGAGUGUCAGUUAUCCCUCCCAGUUUGGUGUCAUCUGCAAACUUGAUGAUCGUGC
rnacentral:lncRNA from 11 species